GGCACUAUGGCCGAGUGGUUAAGGCGAGAGACUCGAAUUGUGUGGUUUGGUGAUCUCUUGGGCUCUGCCCGCGCUGGUUCAAAUCCUGCUGGUGUCG